UGCAGAAUGAGAGUAAAACUGGUGAAACUGGUUCAAUCUGGUGAACAUGUCUGCUGACAUGAUAAUCACACUCUUCAUGUCUCUUGAUUUCCACAGACAUUGUUUCCUGGACCAGGAGUGACUUCCUACAAUAUUCCCAUCGGUUCACUCCGGAUCUGAACACAGUGAAUAAAGACCUCCUUCUGUCUGAGGGGAACACAGUGGUUACUAACACUUGGCCAGAGACUCAGUCGUAUCCUGAUCAUCCAGACAGAUUUGAUCUUUCUCAGGUGUUGUGUAGAGAGAGUGUGAGUGAUCAACGCUCUUACUGGGAGAUUGAGUGGAGUGGACGUGGUGUGUCUGUAUCAGUGUCAUAUAAGAGCAUCUGCAGGAUGAGAUGGGAUAAAGAGUGUGUGUUUGGACGUAAUGAUCAGUCCUGGAGUUUGAUCUGCUCUUACUCCAGUUGCUCAUUCAGACACAAAAACAUAGAGAGAGUUCUCCCUGUAAAGCCCAUCAUCAGGAGAAUAGGAGUGUAUGUGGAUCACAGUGCAGGAACCCUGUCCUUCUACAGCAUCUCUGGAGACACAAUGAGCCUCAUCCACACAGUCCAGACCACAUUCACUCAACCGCUCUAUCCUGGGUUUAGGGUUUAUUAUGGAUCUUCAGUGAAACUGAUUUGAUGAAUCAGAACAGAGAGAUUCUACCCAUAAUGCUUUGAGCUGAUAAUGAAUCAGAUGUUAUAGAGUCUCUUCAUUACAUUAAUACUGUGACCUGAAAUGUCAUGUCAGAAUAAAAGUGUGCAACACAGA